AGAAAACUGUGAACAUGGCCUGUACUGUGAAGCGCACUGACUGGUCGAUAAGACUUGAAAAAAUUAUAUAAAUGCAACCCAUUUACAAUUUUUAACAGAAACAUAUGCCUGACCAAAGCAUUUUAGCAUACCAGCUAUACAACCAUUAGUCCAUGCUAGCACUGUAAAUUAUACAGAAUGACUGUAAUAUGCUUGCCAACUGAUACUGAGUACUCCAUUAUGAUGAGUGUCUCUUCUGCUGCUGUGCCCUUCUCUGGUCUCUGUAACAAAGAGUCAAGAAGCAUUGAUUAACAGACUUUCAGUCUUUGUAGAAAGGAAGCAAGUGCAAAAAAACAAGUAAAAUUAGAUAAAAGCAUGUAUAGAAUUCUGUUUAUUUAGAAGAGUGGCCAAACACGCCUAGCUGUACUCAAGUUCAGAUUCAUUAUUAAUGCUCUUCUAAUAACUCCACUAUUUCUUCAUUUUAUACAUAUAGAUAUAUGAUGGCAAAUAUUUUAAAAUUCUCUUAUGUAGUGCAAAAAUGCAUAAAGGACAACACUACUGUUAGGAAGUCUACAAUAGUGCUGUGCUUCUGGCCUGUCUGUGGUGCUGAUCAGAAAGAGUUGGUAAGGUUUGGGGUGAUCCAUCGCCUUUCUCGUGAUCAUCUUCACCGCAUGAGGGGAGAUCUUUGCAUGGAUCUCCAGCAAGAGAACAUUUAAUUUUAUAUUUCCACCAAACGUCUUGUUGACAGUCUUGUAGCCUAUUGAACCUUGAGCAGGUCUAUCAUCUUGACAACUUUAGUACUCAUGACAACUUUUUGGUCUUCCCAUGGUGAUGGAGAGGGCUUUAUAGAUAUAACGAGAUGAGAUCAGAAGUAUCUGUAAUUGAUUGAUUGCAAUCUGUAUGCAACAUGGGCACACAGCCAGUCUGUAGCAGACAGAAUUCUGGUUGUAUUGUAGGGAAUCAAUUUUUUAUUUCACUCAGUGACAUGCAAAUCAACUUAUAACUUAUAGCUAUUUUUUUAUUUUUCUAGAUUUUUGGUUGAUAUCCUGUCUUUCUCAAUUAAAAUGAAAUAACCAUAAACUAUUUUGGUUCUUUGUGAGUAGAUAAACUUAUCAGUUCAACAGGGGAUCAAAUACUUUUCCUCCAAACAUAUGUUCAUGGUAUCUCCUGAGACAUUAAAGUUUAAACUAUUUCAAUUCUGUUUGAACACAUUAGAGUCUUAAUGUCAGCCCCAAAAGUUGGUAGCUCAUUUUCCAGCACAGUCCUGACCUCUGUUUUCAGCAUGAUUCACCAAGUCCUCUCACACCGUGGAAAUUAUCUCAUUUCUAAAACCCUCGAAGCUGAAUCUAGCCUUGCCCAAGGGGUUGUACUCACAGUUUUUGUAUGGCAGGACCAAAAACAGUCUCUUUUCCCUCUGGGUCAAAAGAGGAUCUGCUCUUCACAAUUCACUACCUCCACAACAUACAGUAAUUACCUAAUUAGGAAAGCCAUGGAACCAGAAGCUGAAGAAAUAACACAAGAGGCCAGAAGUGGGAUGGGAUUUUUUUUAUUAUUUUAUGUCACCUGAUCUGCCCAGACAAGCAGUUUUUCUAUCUAG
ensembl:lncRNA